AGUGAACGCUGGCGGCAGGCCUAACACAUGCAAGUCGAACGGCAGCACAGUAAGAGCUUGCUCUUAUGGGUGGCGAGUGGCGGACGGGUGAGGAAUACAUCGGAAUCUACCUUUUCGUGGGGGAUAACGUAGGGAAACUUACGCUAAUACCGCAUACGACCUUCGGGUGAAAGCAGGGGACCUUCGGGCCUUGCGCGAUUAGAUGAGCCGAUGUCGGAUUAGCUAGUUGGUGAGGUAAAGGCUCACCAAGGCGACGAUCCGUAGCUGGUCUGAGAGGAUGAUCAGCCACACUGGAACUGAGACACGGUCCAGACUCCUACGGGAGGCAGCAGUGGGGAAUAUUGGACAAUGGGCGCAAGCCUGAUCCAGCCAUGCCGCGUGGGUGAAGAAGGCCUUCGGGUUGUAAAGCCCUUUUGUUGGGAAAGAAAAGCAGUCGAUUAAUACUCGAUUGUUCUGACGGUACCCAAAGAAUAAGCACCGGCUAACUUCGUGCCAGCAGCCGCUGUAA
rnacentral:rRNA from 1 species